rnacentral:tRNA from 1 species
UCCCUGGUGGCUCAGACGGUAAAGCGUCUGCCUGCAGUGCGGGAGACCCAGGUUCAAUCCCUGGGUUGGGAA